UUUUUUUUUUCUUUUUUUUUUCUUUUGGUUUUUCGAGACAGGGUUUCUCUGUGUAGCCCUGGCUGUCUUGGAACUCACUCUAUAGACCAGGCUGGCCUCGAAGUCAGAAAUCUGCCUGCCUCUGCCUCCUAAGUGCUGGGAUUAAAGGCGUGCGCCACCACUGUCCUUCUAUGUGUAAUCUUUCUAGUAGAGGGUUUUUUUGUUUGUUUGUUUGUUUGCUUUGUUUCAUUUUACUGGUGUUUUCUUUAUAUCAGCUUCUCAGCUCAACUCUCUAUAGGAAAUAUGAGAAUCAUCUAAGGAUUUUUCUGGAGUACUCUGGAAGCCUGCUUGCUUAGGGUCUGGGUGCUUCCUGCCUACAGCUCUGAUCUUGGCACUUGUCCCUUUAGACCUCUUCCUCACAGGACUUACCACCUUCUAAUAUGCUGUAUCAUUUGCUUAUUCGGCUAACUCUCUCCCCCAGUCCUGAUUAGUCUCAAUUCCACAGGAGAGCUUUCUGUGCUUUUUCACUGGUGAAUUACCAAGCACAGUGCUUGCAACAGGGGAGGCUCAGUGACUGCUGAAUGGACACGCAGGACCAGGGACCUGGGACCUCCCUACACUCCGUUCCUGUGCAUUCUGUUUCCUCUUGUUUCCUCUAGUUCUCAUGUCUUCUUUCUUGGUUUGCCCCUUUAUUUGUUUAUUUUUGGUGGAACACAUCCUUCAGUAACUUUCUGAGAAAGGGUCUCUCUGUCUCUGUCUCUCUGUCUCUGUCUCUCUCUGUCUCUCUGUCUGUCUGUCUCUCUCUCUCUCUGUUUCUCUCUCACAACCAGAGUAUCUGUAUUUAGCUAUCAGUACUCAGUGGUUACCAUAGACUCUGGCAAAUUAUUUUAUGUGUAAAAUGGCAAUGAAAAUCUCAGCACUCAGGAGGCAGAGGCAGGCAAAUUUCUGAGUUCAAGGCCAGCCUGGUCUACAAAGUGAGUUCCAGGACAGCUAGUGCUAUACAGAGAAACCCUGUCUGGAAAAACAAAACAAAAAAACCAAAACAAAACAAAAAAAAGGUUAGUGUUUUCUCAAGAUAAGCAAGACCCAAAUAAAAUUGAAAGGAUUGGGAAGCAGUUGAGCAGAGUUGGUUACUAGUUGGGCACUUAUGUACUGUGACUUAUCUAACUCUGAGAGUGUGAUUGCUCACUGCAGCCUUAGUCUCCUUACAUGGGUGGUCUUCUCCUGGGGCCA
rnacentral:lncRNA from 1 species